rnacentral:lncRNA from 1 species
CGUAUCAAAUGAAGGAGAUAGAAGGGGCCAAUGAGCCCACUUACUGUAUCCAUUCCAUCCGUACCAAGAUCGCUGGUACGAUUGGUGAGAAUUAAGCCAUUCGUGCUAGCCGCCCCGAGAUCCAACUCGCAUAUGCGAGGAACGAGUGGAACGAAAAAUAAUUUUGUUCCAAUCGUGAAGAGUGCAUAGCUGGAGACUGGAGACGAAUUCGAUCCAUCCAUGCCAAGUGCGUAGGAUUGAGGUGAGGAAGAAACCAAUCUCUAGCCUUCCCAAUUCAUCAC